CGUGCAGGCGGCUCGCUAAGUCUGAUGUGAAAGCCCCGGGCUCAACCCGGGAAGUGCAUUGGAAACUGGCGAACUUGAGUAUGGGAGAGGGAAGUGGAAUUCCGAGUGUAGGGGUGAAAUCCGUAGAUAUUCGGAGGAACACCAGUGGCGAAGGCGGCUUCCUGGACCAAUACUGACGCUGAGACGCGAAAGCGUGGGGAGCAAACA
rnacentral:rRNA from 1 species